rnacentral:rRNA from 1 species
GUGCCAGCCGCCGCGGUAAUACCGGCAGCCCGAGUGAUGGCCGAUCUUAUUGGGCCUAAAGCGUCCGUAGCUGGGUCUGAAAGUCCAUCGGGAAAUCCACUCGCUCAACGGGCGGCCGUCCGGCGGAACCUGUGUGGCUUGGGACCGGGAGGCCUGAGGGGUACGAUCGGGGUAGGAGUGAAAUCCUGUAAUCCCGCUCGGACCGCCGAUGGGGAAACCACCUCAGGAGAACGGAUCCGACAGUGAGGGACGAAAGCCAGGGUCUCGAACCGGAUUAGAAACCCGAGUAGUCC